GAGCCAGGUGGGUCUCAGAGGUGAUUUAUUUUACGGUUGUUACACUCGGCCACAAAUAAACACAGAAAUAGUCCAGAAUGUCACAGGUCCAGGGCAAAGGACCAACAUGGGCAGUUUUGGUUAUGAGCAAGGUGGGUCUCAGAGGUGAUCGGCGAUCAGAUGG